rnacentral:lncRNA from 1 species
UGCACGUGGAACAGAAGCCUUUGGACCGGCCCUGAGGAGCACUGGAUGAAGUCACCAGCAUGUAGACGGACAGCAGGGGAGAGAGACAGAGACCAAGCAGGUGCGCAAGUGAUAGAGACGGAGCCGAGCAUCUUCCGAGGGGCACACAGACUUCUGAGCAGACAGAUGUCUCCACAGGACAAAUGUGAAAUAAUCUACCGUAUCAGAGGGAACGGUAACCUGUGGCCGGAUAGAAGCCGAUCUUUGGAACAAGUUUGGUCCAUCAGACACUAAGAUUUGGCCGCCCAUCUGUGGCUUGCUAAUUGAACCCGCAGCUUCAGGACACGUGUCCUUCCCAUUUCGUCUGGACUGGGAUGAAACAUUCACAACAUAAAAUUUACCAUCUGAACUGCUUUAAGUGCACAGC